rnacentral:rRNA from 1 species
GACGAACGCUGGCGGCAUGCCUAAUACAUGCAAGUCGAACGCUGAAGCACUCUGCUUGCAGAGUGCGGAUGAGUGGCGAACGGGUGAGUAACACGUGGGAAAUCUGCCUAGGAGUGGGGGAUAACAUUCGGAAACGGAUGCUAAUACCGCAUAUCUUUUUGAACCGCAUGGUUCUUAAACGAAAGACGGCUUCGGCUGUCGCUCUUAGAUGAUCCCGCGGCGUAUUAGUUAGUUGGUGAGGUAACGGCUCACCAAGGCGACGAUGCGUAGCCGACCUGAGAGGGUGACCGGCCACACUGGGACUGAGACACGGCCCAG